CAGGGGGCGGGGGGUUGUGCGGGGCCGGCGCGCGCCAGCCUUGGGGCCAGGCUCCUGCUGCCCGGGCCAGGGCCGCAUCCUCCCGCUCGCCCCGGGCCCGGGCAUUAGGUUGUUUUGGCCCAGCCCCGCCAGCAGCCCGGGCCGAGCGGAGCGUGCAGCGACUCGCUGCCUUGCAACCGAACGCUGCGCCUGGCGGCGGAGGUGGGACUCGGUGAGGCCGGCGGCCACGUAGGCGCCGCUUGCAGCUCGCUGUAAAUCUGAAGGCGGCGUUUGUUCAGGCGCCAGGCAGCUGGAGGCUCUUUUUGGCCUUUCUAGGGGAGCAAACGUGCAAACUUAGUGCGCUGUAGCUCACGAAGGCUUAUGCUCAAAUAAAUGUGUUGGUGUCUAAGGUGCCGCAAGGUCUCCUGUUCUUUUUGCGGAUACAGACUGACACGGCUGCUGCUCUGAAACCUGUCAGCAUGUUGGUUACUGUUCGCACAGUGAUUUGAAAAAGCAGAACCCCGUGCGAGUGCUGAGCAGCGGCCUCAGGGCUGGCUCCCCUGCUUCCUAGCCGAUAUAUGGCCAAGUGCCGCCGCCGCCUUUUUUUUUUUUUUUUUAAAUUCUUAUCAGACUUAAACACUUUUUGUUCAAGACAGUCUGAAUCGACUCCUCUUGCUCAAUGCCAUUACCGAGCAGACGUGCCCCACCCCCGUUCGGAUCUUCAGUUCUAGCUGGUGCUCUCAUUACACUUCUUUUUGAGCUGUAGCUCACAAAGGCUUAUGCUCUAAUAAAUUUGUUAGUCUCUAAGGUGCCACAAGUACUCCUUUUCUUUUUGCGAAUACAGACUAACACGGCUGCUACUCUGAAACCUGUUCUUUUUCUCUGUGUCUCUUUCUCUCUUUUCCUUGAGCAGUCUGCGCUAGGAAAAAACCCUACAUUUCUGAGGCCAACGUGUCUCACUUUCUUCCGUUUUCCCGGAUAAGUUUUGUAUGGGCAACUAAUGCCUGCCUUGGUGCAUGUUGUUUGGCUUUCCAGUUUAGCUGCUGAGCAUGGAUCAGCUUCAUCUCUGUUUUUUCCUGUUGAGGACCCAAGAAACAGGCUUCCAGUGUUGCCCUCAUCAUGUGCCCCUUUCAUGGGGAAGGGACAAAACGAGGAGCUAGAAACACAGGGCCUAAUUCUUCACUACCUUGUUUUGCCAUUUGUACCAGUGCAACUUGAGUGUAAAACACUGCACUAUUGUGAUUUAAUAGUGCUUUUACCCAGGUGUACAUGACAAUACAGGUUUUAAGGCAGCAGAGAAUCAGACCCAGUGUUUCUAGCCAUAAUAAAUUGUGGAGAUGGGGCGGGGGGGGGGACAGGGCUGUGAUGAUGCACCUAAGAAAAGGGCUGCUUUAUUGCUAGGUCAGAAGACUCUUCUAUUGGUGUUGGCACAACAAUGCCUGUUUGAGGAUAAACGGGUCAGAAAUUAAAAUACUUUUUAGGAGCAUCAUUAACCCCUACACUACAUGUCUGUGGGGUUCCUACACAAUCAUGCAAUGUGGCUACAUCUGAGCACCAUCGCAUCCCCCCGCAGAGCCCCACUCUGCAUAGUGGGCUUUUAUUGUCACCCACAAUAAGCAAUUCUUCCUGCUCUCCUCACCCAGCUAUCUCUCAAAGGGGUGCUUUGGAUCCUAGGUGAGUAGCAAUCUUUAAAAUGGCUUCCUCCUCUGUCUUUUUUCAGAGGGAGAGGGUUUUGUUUUUUUUUGUUUUGUUUUGUUUGUUUUAAGAUGGUACUAAAGUUUCAGCUGUGUUCCUUUUAUUCACUGGGUUGGUUUAAUAAUUCUGUCUUCUAGCCAGUAGGAAUAAAAUUACAAUUUUAGAGUCUUACAGCACCAUUAUUGCUAUGGUUUAAGAUUUUGUCACAGGAAUUUUUUCAUCAGAGUCAUGGACUGGUUAUGGGCAAUAAACAUUCAUGGAAUCCCAUGAUCUGGCCAUAGAGACAUCGGAGGGGCGGAGAGGGAGGGCAGGACUGACUGUCAAAGCCCUGCUGCUGCGGGGAGCUGAAGCUGAAGAAGUCACAAAGGUCCAUUAAAGUCACGGAGUCCAUGAUCUCAGCGACAAAAUUGAAUCCUUAAUUAUUGUAUAAAGACAUUUAUGUCUCAAAGGUAAAUGGCAAUGAAUUUAAGCAAAUUUGGGUUCUAUUUUGCAGCUUUAUGAUGUACAUGGAGUCUGAAAAGUGAAUGUUCAUGUGUCAUUUUUUUUUUUUUUUUGCAAAAUACAAACAAAACAUCAGAAAUUCAAAUUUAUACAUUGUAUGGAAGAUGCUGACUAGAGAAUUAGUAAAACGAAAACAUCAAGGAGCCAAGAGAGUAAAAAGUUGAACCGUGGAAGAAAUUUUUCGUCAGACUGUUUGACGGUUUGGUUUUGCUAACACUUGUGUCCAAGGUAUUAAUAAAAAAAAAAAAAGUGGGGUGAAGGAUAGGUUUUUCCAAAAUUAGUUUUAAAAAAAUCUAUAUUUAGGCAUGUAAAUAAGGGACCUGUUUUUCAGAAGUGUUAAUUGAGCACCCAGCUACUCCCACUGGAAACCAGCAACGUAUAUGAUACAAUGACAAAUUCAAUACAAUACAUGUUUCAGCUGACUGGCUGGCAUUAAAUGUUUUUACUGUAAUACCUGUGGAAGGUGUGAGUGACAGCACAGAGACUUGUCUUUUAACCUCUCUCUAUCCCUAGAACAGCUACAACACAAACAUUGGGAGUGUUAGCUUCCCCUGAUCUUGCUGACAUGGUGCGUUAACUUUUUUUGGUUUGUUUUUUGAGGCACCUACUCUAGAGGUGAAGAGACUGUUUAAUCAUUGUGCCUAUUCAGAUUGUUGCAAAUCUCAACAGAGAUGCCAAAAUGUAAUUGCUAUAUGGACAUCUGUCUACUGGGCCUUGGAAUUAGACGACUGGUUCAUUCUGUCUGAGCCCCUGAACAGUUGUCUGCUUAUAGACUUAGAAGUGACUCAAACUGAGGAUGGUUUUGAACCAUUGACUGAGGUGAGAGGCUGCGAGCUGUAUUUCCAUCUCUUCUAACACUGGAGAAAAUCCACGGUAAUUCCAUUGACUCGAGUGGACAUCCAUUAGAUUGUCAGUGGUGUACCUGAUAUCAGGACCUAAUUCUCUAAAUGCUGAGCUAUCUAGUUUCAUGAUUAAAAAAAAUAUUUAAGUGGUAAUUUACAAACUAACAUUAAUAAAAUGGAGAUUUGUGGUUUUAACAAGAGACUGUCAGAGACCAGGACAUGGGUGGUCAUGUCUAAUGGUUAGAGCAGCAGUUGGGAGCCAGGAACAGGACUCCAGAGUCAGUCAUGUUACCUGGAAUGGGACAAAGGUGAGGCCAGGAGACAUCUCAGCCGUGGAUAAAUGCUUUGAGCAGCGACUGAACUACUGUAGCAGUGCUUAAGAGCCGUUCUGCUGACUCUUCCCACUAAUCAGGCAGCCUACUACAGGCCAGCUGCACUGGUUAGAUUUAUCCAGGAACUGGGUUUGCGGCAGGCCCUGAUUCCUGACAGAGACCAUAUAUAAAUAAAUGGGAUAGCAUUUUUAAAUUACAUGGCUAGUUACUAGCACUACCAGGUUGUCAAUAGAGGAGUCUUAUUUUAUUACACCAUGCUUAAGAGAACUCAUUGUUUUACUGCACUUAAUGAUGUUAAGGGGCCCACUGGGGUUUACUCUAAAAAUAAUUAAGACUUGACUGUGAGCCAGAUUCUGCCCAUAAUUAUACACAUGCACAAUUCCAUUAAUUGGGAGUUGGGUGCCCAUAACCAAAGGCAAGAUUUUGACCUUAGAUAAUAAUUAGGAGAGGCUUCACAAGUUCAGCAUAUUCACAUGUAUCACUGUUGGACCUGGCCUCACCAGGUCCUCAUAGUUGCUCAAUUUCCCCUCUUUGUGGGCUUUUCACAAACACAGCAAUAGGGCCAGGAGAAGCAUUUGAAAAGAGCAGGGUUAAUGAAAUGGUAAAACCACAAAUUGGAGCUGGGGACAUUGGGAACAGUGCCUGACAUUACUCUGAAGUCUUUCAUUUAAAAAAAAAAAAAAAACCUGUUUAGAUUUCAAGUUGAGGUCUCUAUAUAUCUAUUGGUAAGUUUAGUGCAUCUAUAUUAUAUUUGAAGCUGUCCCUUUGGUUAGUACAUCUAACACUCGCUGUAAAGAAUGUAAUUAUAUUUACUCAGUUCUUUUAACAACAGGGUGAGUGAAGAAUUGUGGGUGUAUGGACAGUGUAUUUUUGAAACUCUGCACUAAAACUUUUUUUUUUUUAAAUUCCAACUGCCUGCUAGAAUACUGACAGGAAAAGGUAUAUUUAGUCACAAUAAAGGAGUAUCUAGUAACAUUUUCAUAAGUUUCCAAACCUUUCAUUUUUCUCUCAAUAUUAACUUAAUAAAUGCUGACCCAAAAACAUACAAAGUAAGAGUAUAUUUAAUGAACUUUUAAUAGGAUACAUUUCUUUUCCUCGUGUUGGUACAAUUUAACAUUGGGCGGGAAUCAUUACCAUAUAGUUUGUGUAAAAUUAAUUUUAAAUACAUUGCAUAAAUAUUCAAGGUUACUUGCAAGGAAAACUGUCAAAUGCUAAGACUUUGGGGCCUACAUUAGAGUUCCUGGGCACCUAGUGACUUCAUUCAGACUUGUGGAUGCCCGGUGAAUACAAGAUUAGCCCCAGACUUGACAUAUCAACAAUCUAAAUGUACUAAGCUGUGAAUAGUAAUGGAGCUGAGAUGACUGGGGAGCUUCUGGUAGAUAUCAAGAAGAAGAAUCAAAUAUGUUAGCAUGAUAUCUCUGACUUCAACAAACAGCCUACAGCUACAAAACAAGCCCAUCCACUGAGUAAUGGUGAACAAAACUAGAAUCUGUACUGGUUCCAUGCCUCCAACUAGCAUCCCUACUUUAGAGCAGUGCCUAAACAAUCCAACAGGAUAUUUGGAACAAUCUUGCUUGUCAAGGAACAUACAAUAGUGCUUGCCCUGUAU